CGAUUAUAAUAACGGCUAUUUAAAUGAUCCAUGAAACGAUAAGUUUAUUUUUUCAAAAAUUAAUUUAAUCGUACCGAUAACCGCAUCAGGUCUCCAAGGUGAGUAGCUUCUGGCCAUUGAGUAAUGGUAAUUUAGGGAAUUCGGCCAAUUAGAGCUGUAACUUCGGGAUAAAGCUUGGCUCUGAUGGAAAUCAGAACCGAUAGUUACAAGGAGAGCCCAACUGUUUAAUAAAAACUUAGUGUCGCGUCAUACCUUUAUAAGUAAUAAACGUGACAUGAAUCCUGCUCAGUGCUGUGUUUGUUAAACUGGAUUAAUCCAUUUAAGCGCCGGUAAAUAGCUGGGGUAACUAUGACUCUUAUCAAAGUAGCGAAAUACCUCGUCACUUAAUUAGUGACCUGCAUGAACGGAGCUAUGAGGUUCUCACUGUCCCAAAUUAUCACUCAGCGAACCAACAGUUGUGGGAACGGGCACAAAUUAUCCAGCGGGGAAAGAAGACCCUGUAGAGCUUCACUUUGGUCUAAUCUUGUAUAGUUUCGUUAGGGGUGCAGUCUAGGUGGGAGAUUUUUAAUCAAAUAUGAGAAACCACUACCCUUUCUGGAAUUAUACUUACUAAAAUUCUUUUCUAAAUUUUAGGAUCGGAUUAGAUAGAAAGUUUGGCUGGGGCGGCACACCUUCGAAAAAGCAGCGAAGGUGUCCUAAGUUAAGCUCAGUAAGGACAGAAAUCUUACGUUGAGGAUAAGGCCAAAAGCUUAAUUUACUGUGCCUUUUUGUACUAGGAUCAGUUUGGAAACAAAGGCCUAACGAUCCCUAAUUAGUCUUAGGUGUGUAAGACUUGGGGUGACAGACAAGUUACCUCCGGGACAACUGGCUUGUGGCUGCUAAGAGAUCAAAUCAACGCAGCUUUUUGAUUCUUCGAUGUCGGCUCUUCCUAUCCUAGUGAUGUACAAGUCACUAAGGGUUGGAUUGUUCACCCGUAUUAGGGAUCGUGAGCUGGGUUUAGACCGUCGUGAGCCAGGUUUGUUUUAUCCUACUGGAUAUAAUUUAGCAUCUUGAUAGUAGUUUGAUUUAGUACGAGAGGAACUGUUGAAUAUGGUCUCUGGUUUGGGAAUUUUAUGAAAAUAAAAGUUCCAAAGCUACGCCGUCUGAGAUAAUGGCUGAAGGCCUCUUAAGCCAGAAACUCAUCUAAAAAUAGAUGCUUUAAACUAUUUAAAAGAAUUAAAUUUAAAAUAUUUUUUUUAUUAAAAUUUGU
rnacentral:rRNA from 1 species